AUGAUACUCUCUCCGUCCCGAAAUUUUUUCUUAGGUUUGUCUAAAAAUAGAUGUAUCUAAAUACUAAAACGUGACUAGAUAUAUUGAUAUCUAGAAAAAUUUAAGACAAGAAUUUUCGAACGGAGAAAGUAUUUG
rfam:Hordeum vulgare subsp. vulgare, WGS project CAJW01000000 data, contig: morex_contig_1576733